AGCAGCCGCGGUAAUUCCAGCUCCAAUAGCGUAUAUUAAAGUUGUUGCAGUUAAAAAGCUCGUAGUUGAAUUUUGGAUUCUACCAAUUGGUCCAUCUUUUAGAUGAGUACUGGUUGUGUGGGGUCUAUCCGCCUGGUGAUACGUAAUGUCCUUUAUUGGAUGUUGCGGGUAGUCAGGACCUUUACCUUGAAAAAAUUAGAGUGUUUAAAGCAGGCUUAUGCCGGAAUACAUUAGCAUGGAAUAAUAGAAUAGGACGAAGUUGUUUUAUUUUGUUGGUUUCUAGGACAACCGUAAUGAUUAAUAGGGAUAGUUGGGGGCAUUAGUAUUCAAUUGUCAGAGGUGAAAUUCUUGGAUUUAUUGAAGACUAACUACUGCGAAAGCAUUUGCCAAGGAUGUUUUCAUUAAUCAAGAACGAAGUUAGGGGAUCGAAGACGAUCAGAUACCGUCGUAGUCUUAAACCAUAAAACUAUAGCCGACUAGGGGAUCGGGCGAUGUUGUUUCCAUGACUCGCUCGGCACUU
rnacentral:rRNA from 1 species